CUCUCAACAAAAUUUGCCUCAAAACAUGCUAUCAUGCUACAUCAUAGGUCACAUGCACUAUCCACCCUAACACCUUCUGGUAGUCAUGCCUAGUAUUAGUCCUCUAUCGCUGUUAGUUAACACUACAAGAUAUUGCUGCAGCAGCAGUCCUCCACAAGCAGCUUGUGAGCCUGUAUGCAGCAAAGAUCAGGCAGGGGCAUACAAUAGCACCUUUGUCAGACCAUCAAGAACUGCAAUGACUGUGAUGUGGAACUUAGAAUGCAGUUUUUUGCCACAUACCUUACUACUGCUUUAGCCUUCCACUGACUCUGCGUGCUGAUGUGUGGUGGGGAAAGCAUGUGGUGUUGUCCACAGCAGCUGCAGGUUGCUGGGUGGGCCCUGUAGACAGACAAACAUGCCCAUCAGAAGUUAAAUACACCAAACCCUGUAUAGGAGACUCCAUACAGAAUAUAUGCAGCAAGAGGUAAUUUGACACAAAAUCCAAAAACUGCAGUUGCCCUUGUUUGCUUGCACAUGAAUGACAAUUACCCCCCCUCAAAAUCAGAGUGAUGAACGUAACUGUGUAGAUACCUGUAGUCACAGCUAUCACCUCCCAAGCAGAAAAAGCAUGCCCGGGAAUCGAACUCAGGUCGGAACUAGGAUACUUGCCUACACCAACCCAUUCUAUCAUGACUUCCCCAGCUGGGAACAUUUUACCAUUCCCAAGUCUUAGUUCCGUGUAUCAGCUAGUAACCAACAUACUUCCUCAACGGCUUCUUCCUGUUUAAACCUGGGUAGUUGCCUUAAUCAACCUGUUACAUCAUGAUUUCCCCCAGAGAACAACUCACCAGUGGUCACUAUUCACGUGUCAUGCCCCGUGAUAUGAGCCAGUAGCCAACAUAUGCCUCCAUCCUCAAUGGCUUCCAAACCGGCACCCAUAUCUCAGACCUUUCUUCAUCGUAGGCAGAGCUUUGGUGGAUGAUGCCGUCUGCAGCUCCCGUUUCUCGCUUCUGUACACAUGCCUGCUGAAGCAAGUUUACCAUAUGGGGUUGCAACCCCCUCAUUUGAGUCCUGCAGAUCAUGCAAGCAAGCAGUUGCAGUGUCUAGCACGCAAGCCCAAUUUUACUACUUCUCAUGAGACAACAUCAUACUUUGGGUUGUUGCUUGGGUUUGGUGCUGCCCAGGUGUGCAGCCAUGGCAUGAGGAGCGUGGUCGCGAUGGUGAAGUCCUUUGUUGCCAAGUUGCCAUAGAACUCGGCAAAGUCGUCAUAUUCCAUUCCACUGACGGCCAGGAAUUCCUCAAACGCUUUGGUGGCCUUAUCACCAGCAAACGUUGCUGGGCACGUUUAAAAUGUACCGCUCAUCUAAUGAACAAGUGCAAUGGCUGAUGAUGCCACUCACUUGUCAUUCGUUGGCUGCAUCAUAGCUGCAGCUGGACCUCGUGCAUCCUGCGCCUAUUGUCCGACGGCUGCGUGGGCUGCAUCCCAAAUCCACCCACAAAAUCAUCAUUGGCUUCCAUUGUGAUAUUCCUCUUAAGCAUCUUUAGAGAUUUGACCUAUGAGGUUAACCAUAGUUAGAGAGUAGGGUCGGGCUGGAGCCAACCAUAGCACAGCCAGAGACUCUUGAUCCUGAGUAAGGUAAUUAUUACAAAGACGAUAACACUUGUUAGUUUGAUGCUGCAAUGAGUGGCAAUGCACAAUGAGACAGGUACAGAUCCUGCCUGUGGGUCGCCGCUGUACUGCCAAGAGAUUGGCUGGUGCAAAUGAAAGGCACCAACGGCAAAUAUAUUUGAGGUGGAACCAUUCUGUUUAUUCAUGCAAGCAGCUAACCGCGGUCUAUGUGAGCGAGGUAGUUCGACUGUGCAAGCAUGGCAGUCCAGCAGCCAAGCUGGCUAAGUCGUAUUCAUUUCUUUAACUUUAUGUCCGUGUAUAUUUUGCAUUUUUGUGUUAUGUUGUGUUCAUUGUUCAUUUCUUCUCUUCCGUCAGCGGUUGCUCCAGAUCCGUGGUCAAGGUUGGAUAUUACUUGUGCUGGGCUAAAUAGCAUCAAGUUCAAAUCCUUUCCAGACUGCUUAUGCACGGCAUACAGUCGCUUGACUACUUUCGCUGUACAUUCGAAAAUGGGAAGUCCAUUUGCUUCCAGAGGGGAUUUCCACGUUUAAAUUGUCUUGAUUCCUACAGAAUUAGGAUAAUGGCUUCUUAUGACUGGAUAGUUCGAUGUAAACAGCUUUCUCCGGCUCCCUAAGGGAGUGCCAUGCACUUUCCGGUCCACUAUGAAGGGUCGAACUUCACCUGGCUAUACAUUCAAAAUUGAGAAGUCCAUUUGUUUUCGUUGGGAGCUUGUGUUACUAGGAGCAUGAGAGCCUGGGGGUGUGGGAGCCUGAGGGC
rnacentral:lncRNA from 1 species